UACGAAGGGGGCUAGCGUUGUUCGGAAUCACUGGGCGUAAAGGGCGCGUAGGCGGCCAUAUAAGUCGGGGGGUGAAAGCCUGUGGCUCAACCACAGAAUUGCCUUCGAUACUGUAUGGCUCGAGACCGGAAGAGGUAAGUGGAACUGCGAGUGUAGAGGUGAAAUUCGUAGAUAUUCGCAAGAACACCAGUGGCGAAGGCGGCUUACUGGUCCGGUUCUGACGCUGAGGCGCGAAAAGCGUGGGGAGCAAACAGG
rnacentral:rRNA from 1 species